UACGUAGGGUGCGAGCGUUGUCCGGAAUUAUUGGGCGUAAAGGGCUCGUAGGCGGUUUGUCACGUCGGGAGUGAAAACUCGGGGCUUAACCCCGAGCCUGCUUCCGAUACGGGCAGACUAGAGGUAGGCAGGGGAGAGCGGAACUCCUGGUGUAGCGGUGGAAUGCGCAGAUAUCAGGAAGAACACCGGUGGCGAAGGCGGCUCUCUGGGACGGUACUGACGCUGAGACGCGAAAGCGUGGGGAGCGAACAGG
rnacentral:rRNA from 1 species